rnacentral:rRNA from 1 species
CAGUAGCCGCGGUAAGACAGAGGAUGCAAGCGUUGUCCGGAAUUAUUGGGCGUAAAGCGCGCGCAGGCGGAUAGGUCAGUCUGUCUUAAAAGUUCGGGGCUUAACCCCGUGAUGGGAUGGAAACUGCCAAUCUAGAGUAUCGGAGAGGAAAGUGGAAUUCCUAGUGUAGCGGUGAAAUGCGUAGAUAUUAGGAAGAACACCAGUGGCGAAGGCGACUUUCUGGACGAAAACUGACGCUGAGGCGCGAAAGCCAGGGGAGCGAACGGGAUUAGAUACCCCAGUAGUCCCUGUCUCUUAUACA